UUGGUGUGUAUUUGCAUGUCGAAUCCCUGUUUAGGCAGCGAAGGCAAUGUUGUACACACCUUUUCAGUGGUUGGCUAAAGCUUGGCAUUUGCUGGCUUUCCUCGGUUUCUUGUGAUGCAUACCUCUAAGAAGGGUACUUGGUUGGUCUAAUUUCUCCCCAUUCUUUAGUUGCACUAAACCCUUUGUGGUUGAUGUGUGACUUAAGACUAUGAAGCAUUCAUAGUGUUCCACGCCCCGAGCCCUUUCUUGUGCUUCGGGUUGUUGGCACAUUAUGUGGUGAUUGAUCUCUUGGAUAUGGAAUAUUGGGUGGGUACGAAGCAUUUUGCUUCUAUUUGCCCCAAAAUUAAGCGUCCGACGCCUCUUGCGUACGACUAUUGUUCUCGUUUUGUUUUGGGCCAUUAGGCUCGAAUCAUGCGCUAACAAUGUCGAUGAGGAA
rnacentral:misc_RNA from 1 species